rnacentral:rRNA from 1 species
UACGUAGGGGGCAAGCGUUGUCCGGAUUUAUUGGGCGUAAAGAGCGUGUAGGCGGCUUUGCAAGUCCGUUGUGAAAACUCGAGCUCAACCUCGAGACGCCGGUGGAAACUGCAAAGCUAGAGUCCGGAAGAGGAGAGUGGAAUUCCGUGGUGUAGCGGUGAAAUGCGCAGAUAUCAGGAAGAACACCCGUGGCGAAGGCGGCUCUCUGGGACGGUACUGA